rnacentral:tRNA from 2 species
GCUGCUAUGGCUCAGUCGGUAGAGCACAUCCUUGGUAAGGAUGAGGUCGUCAGUUCGAUUCUGACUAGCAGCU